UAUUUUGGCGAAUGGUACGAACCGCUUAUUAUUUCAACUGCGGUGCUUGUGUUGAUUUUUGCGAGUUAUUUGCGAAUAAUUGGAUUUCCACCUUGGUCCAUAAUCAUGUACUUGUUAUUUUUAGCGUGGAUUAUUGAUUUUCCCUAUAGAUGGAUAAAUCAUUUGAAGGUGGCCGAAUUGAGUUCCCUAAAGUACCAAGAAGAUAGUUCUCAAUGCGAUCAUAACCGAUUUUCCUGGGUGCAGUAUUUGUGGUUUUCAGUUAACAGCGAAGACGAUUGUCGGAAACAUCAUCAAAUCAAAGGUGUUUUCUGGACUAUUACGCCAUUGCAAAUCAUUUCGGAGCAAAUGCAAUUUUUGGUUUUAAUUCCAAUAAAUAAAAUUAACGAAGCUAUAAGAGAUUUGGGACAG